rnacentral:tRNA from 1 species
GGGGGUACAGAGUGGUAGGACGUGUGCUUAGCGUGCACGAGGUCCUGGGUUCAAUCCUCAGUACCUCCA